AGAUUGAACGCUGGCGGCAGGCCUAACACAUGCAAGUCGAGCGGUAGAGAGGUGCUUGCACCUCUUGAGAGCGGCGGACGGGUGAGUAAUGCCUAGGAAUCUGCCUAGUGGGUGGGGGAUAACGGUUCGGAAACGGACGCUAAUACCGCAUACGUCCUACGGGAGAAAGCGGGGGACCUUCGGGCCUCGCGCCAUUAGAUGAGCCUAGGUCGGAUUAGCUAGUUGGUGAGGUAAUGGCUCACCAAGGCGACGAUCCGUAACUGGUCUGAGAGGAUGAUCAGUCACACUGGAACUGAGACACGGUCCAGACUCCGUACGGGAGCAGCGAGUGGGAAUAUUGGACAAGUGGGACGAAAGCCGUAGAUCCAGCCAUCGCCGCGUGUGUAGAAGUAAGGCGUUUUUUCGGAGUUAGUAAA
rnacentral:rRNA from 1 species